GUCCAAAAACAUAUCGUCUGUUAUGUCCAGAUCGACACCGGUGGCCACCACUGGGUACGAUGGUGUGAUGUUGCGUUUUAUGUUGGUCAAAAGUGGUGGUGUUGUUGUGUUAGGGUAUAUCUUAUAUGACGUAACUACGCCUUGUUGGGUGAGACGCUCUAGAGCUUUUGUCGUGCUGGCUUCGUCGUUGGUUUUGAUUACAAAUGUUGAUUCUCUUUUGAUAAUGAUGUCUUUGUUGACUUCUUCCCAUUUAACCGCUAGUUGUACUCUGGUUAGUGUUGGUGGUGCAAUUAGGCUGAAUGUUGAUUUAUAUGUUGGAUGUAUUGGUUGGUGUUUUGUCACUGUAGCUGUGGUUGAUGUUAUUGGUAUUGCCUCCGUUUCGGCCGAAGUUGAACGAGUUGCAGAAUGCAGCAUCUCCAGUGCUGGCCUCUUCUGAUCUUGGGUAGGUGUUGUUGGUGAGGAGGCAGGUUUUCUACCCCUUUCCUUUGAUUUUGGCUUUUUAAAGCCGUCGUCCUGGGAGGCCGUGUCCGAUUCGGACUGUGAGCUCCCGGGAUGCAUUUUACUUUUAGGACAGACCCGGUAUUAUUGGUUGUCCAAAAAACUACCAAAAUUCCUUGCAGUUUGCGAAUAUCUUAGGUAUUCGUAUAUACGCUCGUAUAUUCUUAUUCUUAUAUACGCUCGCACUGGUACGUCCGUAUGCUACCGAGGUUAAAGCGCGAAUUAAUAUCYUCAAGAGAGUAUUURUUUUUUUGCUUACUUUUAACUUGUAUAGUUGCAGUGUAAGUUUCAGUCUUCGGACUAUCAUCUUUUCUUUUAAUUACCAUUCAUAUUGUUCAGACAUUGUACCAUGCCAAAGUCUGAAGCAACUGAWCCCUUCGAAAGCUCCGGAUGAUAAAUAAAAUAUAGCCGAAUCGUUGUGUGACGAGAAAUAGYGCUUUUUGACCGAAAAGCAAAUACAGACAAAUACAUUGUCGCAACUGUUUAAAACUAAAGUGAAAGAAACUCUACGUCCAGGAUUAUCUCUAACGRCGUGAUUCUUUGCAUAGAAUCGGACUAUAGAAACACGACAGAUCCUCAAUACAGGAACCUAGCAAUAGUGCAAUCUAGACAUCUCUUGCAUAACUUUGCUUGGAUGCAACAAUGACCUUUUAAAUAACACAUGCUGGAAACUGUUCAAAUAUUCAAUUCAGAUAUUUAACUGUCAUUGGAAUCGAAUAUUACAUUAAUUGAAAAAUGUUGAAAUAAAUUAUUAAUUUUAACAUAUAAAUUACUAGACACGUUACAUAUACAUUUAUUAACUGUAGAUGUUAUGAUCACCCACGGAUUUGGGCCAAUAGUCGAAAAAUGUGUCCAGCGUGUGAACAUGAGGUUCGCAUCUUUUAUUUUGUUAAAGAAUUUGAUUACUGACUUCCAAAAUCAGCCUCAACGGAUUAUGGCUCGUGUCUUUGACAUCGCUGUCUCGUAAUCGUGCAAAGCAGAAACGGUUUAUUACGUGUUAAACGUGUUUUGAAAACAUAUUUUGACUAUUAGCCAAAAUUGGUGUUUCAUCCUAACAUACCUGAUUUAGGUUUUAAUACACAGUGUGUGGAAGUAUCCUAUAAUUGCUGAUUAUCGAAAUAAAUAUAUACGUAUGACCAUUACGAUAAAUAAUUAAAUUUUCGGCAUGCAGUAAUAAAAAUGGUAAUACUUUUUUGUACGUAAGAAAUACACUGAUAGCAUAUAUUAAAUAUAGUUUUCAACCAUAAUUUUAUCAUUGUAUGUUGAAAAUAAAAUGUUUCUGAUAUUUUGUCAAGAAAAAGAUAGCAUUUUAUCAUUUUUGAAGAAUGUUAGAUUUUCGUGGCUCCUUUUUAUGGAGUUAACAUGCAUUUGAGCCAGAUGUUAUUAAGUUAUUUUUGCGGUGCGUUUUAUAUUGCAAUUGACUACUUAAAUAAACCAAUGGACCAGAAAUAA